UAAUGUGAUGAUGAACUGACC
rnacentral:miRNA from 1 species